CCUGACUUGGUACGUACUACAGGACAUUAGCCAUUGCUGGAUCACCAUUAAUUCAGCAGCUCAGCUCCUACUUGUAGUUGACCCAUGACAGCUCCGGAAUGAGUUUCCAUCGACUCACUCUGUCCUGGUCAACUCGACAGCUACCACCGAAAGACCACUGCGUAUCCAAGGCGACUCGUACUGCCAUCACCAAGUGAGGGAACUUGAACUCCCGUGACAACCACCGAGGUUACCACCCUCAUUUCUUCCUACUCGACUAACAUGUCUCCUCGUGGAGCAUGGUCCUGACUCUCACCAGAACCAAGGGCAACGUCACACAGCCGGUGGCAGGAGAUGACAAUAGUAACACGCUGUCCAAGUGGAAAUAGCAUCCCAGAAGACACUCGGAAACGGUGAACCAAGACCGCAAACCACUCUUGCCGAUGAUUCAAGAAGAGCCGCUUUUGACCACUUGUUUGUCCCGACUCAUGCUGUUGCUCAAGACGGAAUAUGAAAACACCGAAUUACACGACCAUACUCCACAGACCAGGGUACAUACUUGUACUAUUUAUGAGCAAAUCUGAAGUCUGGAAUAUAAAACUGUCCAUGUCAUUAAGACAUUCGACAUCUGUAAGCUACGUUCAUCUUUCCA
rnacentral:misc_RNA from 1 species